UACGUAGGGUGCAAGCGUUAAUCGGAAUUACUGGGCGUAAAGCGUGCGCAGGCGGUUUUGUAAGUUUGGCGUGAAAUCCCCGGGCUUAACCUGGGAAUUGCGAUGAAGACUGCAAGGCUAGAAUCUGGCAGAGGGGGGUAGAAUUCCACGUGUAGCAGUGAAAUGCGUAGAUAUCAGGAGGAAUACCGAUGGCGAAGGCAGGUCUCUGGGCUGACACUGACGCUCAUGCACGAAAGCGUGGGGAGCAAACAGG
rnacentral:rRNA from 1 species